AUCUACCUUUCACAGAGGGAUAGCCCAGAGAAAUUUGGAUUAAUACCUCAUAGUAUAAUGAGUUGGCAUCAACACAUUAUUAAAGUCACAACGGUGAAAGAUGAGCAUGCGUCCCAUUAGCUAGUUGGUAAGGUAACGGCUUACCAAGGCAACGAUGGGUAGGGGUCCUGAGAGGGAGAUCCCCCACACUGGUACUGAGACACGGACCAGACUCCUACGGGAGGCAGCAGUGAGGAAUAUUGGUCAAUGGGCGCAAGCCUGAACCAGCCAUGCCGCGUGCAGGAUGACGGUCCUAUGGAUUGUAAACUGCUUUUGUACGAGAAGAAACAACAUUACGUGUAAUGUCUUGACGGUAUCGUAAGAAUAAGGAUCGGCUAACUCCGUGCCAGCAGCCGCGGUAAUACGGAGGAUCCAAGCGUUAUCCGGAAUCAUUGGGUUUAAAGGGUCCGUAGGCGGUUUAGUAAGUCAGUGGUGAAAGCCCAUCGCUCAACGGUGGAACGGCCAUUGAUACUGCUAGACUUGAAUUAUUGGGAAGUAACUAGAAUAUGUAGUGUAGCGGUGAAAUGCUUAGAGAUUACAUGGAAUACCAAUUGCGAAAGGCAGGUUACUAUCAAUUGAUUGACGCUGAUGGACGAAAGCGUGGGUAGCGAACAGGGUUAGAUACCCUGGUAGUCCACGCCGUAAACGAUGGAUACUAGCUGUUGGGGGCAACUUCAGUGGCUAAGCGAAAGUGAUAAGUAUCCCACCUGGGGGAGUACGGCGCAAGAAUGAAACUCAAAGGAAUUGACGGGGGCCCGCAC
rnacentral:rRNA from 1 species